rnacentral:rRNA from 1 species
GAUGAACGCUCGCGAUAGGCUUAACACAUGCAAGUCGAGGGGCAGCAUGGUCUUAGCUUGCUAAGACUGAUGGCGACCGGCGCACGGGUGCGUAACGCGUACGCAACUUGCCUCACAGAGGGGGAUAACCCGUCGAAAGACGGACUAAUACCGCGUACACUUGGGAUAGGGCAUCCUGACCCAAGGAAAUGAAAUUCGCUGUGAGAUAGGCAUGCGUCCCAUUAGCUAGUUGGUGAGGUAACGGCUCACCAAGGCGACGAUGGGUAGGGGAACUGAGAGGUUGAACCCCCACACUGGUACUGAGACACGGACCAGACUCCUACGGGAGGCAGCAGUGAGGAAUAUUGGUCAAUGGGCGAGAGCCUGAACCAGCCAAGUCGCGUGAAGGAUGACUGUCUUAUGGAUUGUAAACUUCUUUUAUACGGGAAUAACAAGAGCCACGUGUGGCUCCCUGCAUGUACCGUAUGAAUAAGCAUCGGCUAACUCCGUG